rnacentral:tRNA from 1 species
AAGAGAAAAGGUAAAUAAGCCGGGCCCUAUCUUGAAAACCGGCGUGCGGGAAACCGUACCGUGGGUUCGAAUCCCACCUCUUCCGCCA